CAGCCUAGCGUGGAGACGGAACCCAUUGCGAGAACCACUUACCACAGGACCCCACUGUCGCCACUGAGGAAAAGUGCUCAUUCAGGCCGCUUCUCUGAAGGGUCCAGACUGGGCCGGGGAUCUUCACCCAUUUGGGCCACCUCGCUUUUGAGCAAGCUGUCAUCUGUGGCCUUGUUCUCGCCAAGCACCCUGUAUCAUUAUCCUACCAUCAAGGCUGCAGGGUUCCAUUCAUCUUCAUCCCGGACUCAAUCUGUGCAGAGAGGAGCUGCUCCACCCCACCACCUGGAGGCUUCCUUAUCCAUCACCUUCCUGCUUCCCUCGGGAUCUGCAGGGCCCCCACUCUGCAAUCAGGCCUCUCCCCCAGGCCCUGCGGGAGUUCAGUGCUGCAGCACCGAGGAGGGGAAGGUCACCUGACUGUCCCCUUUUGCUGUGUCACUGACACGGCUGAUGUAUGCGGGCCAUGAGCAGAGACAUGGGUCUUCUCUCCCUUAGGGACUAUCUGGUCUGGCUUUUGGAUUCCUGCUGGAUGUCAAACCCUAACAAUGGGACACUAAGAGUGUCCAUCCCUGUGCCAAAGGACUCAUUGUUACAGAAAGAGAUCACAGCGAUGAGACACUGACAUGGGAACCCCCUACAAUUCGCACUGCUCCCUGGAUCUCAUGGUCCUCCAUAGCCCUCCCAAGCUGGUUUUGCACAAAGCACACAAGGUUGGACCCCUAGAAGCUAAAAUGCAGACUUAGAAAUUCUUG